CCGCUGGCCGUGUGCACGUGCGUUCGAGCACGGGCGUGAGAGCUUUCUCCAGAGAGGUGGCACUGCAGUCCUGCCAGCACAGCCUCGUGGCUCUCUUUCCGGAGGUGUCUCCUUCCCGGGCCCACUCGCGCACCACCUUCCUCUGCUCGUGCUCGUUCGCGAGCUAGCUGGCUCACGGGCACCCGCACCAUGCAGCGUAGCGCUGGCGCCUUGCACGUGAGGUUUACCAUCUGCGGAUGCUUCCGAGAGGACCCGAGGCUGAACCUUGUUGCGUUUUGAAGUUGUUGCCCCUUAGACUGGGAAAGCAGAUUCAAAUUAAUGGAACUCUCCAACACCCAAAGGGGGAACAGACCUGAAGUAUUGUUUGCAAUAAAUGCUUCUCACUAAAUAGAAAAGCAAAUUUCUCAUAAUUCUACUCCAAAAGGGUGAAACACAUGUGUUUGAUAGACAUACAACUGUGACAAAUAACUUAGCCUUCUUUUAAAGAAAGGUACCUGUGGAACUUUCAAUAUGUUUGGUCCAGGGCACUAUUAGAUGUUACCCUGUUAGAAGAAAUGUGCCACUGUUGGGGUGGGCUUUGAGACCCCUCUCCUAGCUGCCUGGAAUACAGUCUGCUCCUUACUUCUUUUGGAUGAAGAUGUCGAACUCUCAGCUCCUCCAAUGUCAUGCCUGCCUGGAUGCAGCCAUCCUUCCUGUCAUGAUGAUAAUGGACUGAAUCACAGAACCUGUAAGCCUGCAUCAAGUCUGCAGGAUUAGGCACAUCCUUUCCCACUGAGGCUAGAUGUGGCAGCCCUCUGCUACAUAUGCGUCAGGGGCCUUGAACCAGGCUCUGUAUGCUUUUUGGAUGGUGGAUCAGUCUCUAGAAGCUCCCAGAGGUCCAGGUUAUUUGCUUUGUGGAUGAGUUUUCCAAAACUGACAGGGAAUGGAAUGCCUGAAUCCAAUUUAAUAUGGACAUGAGGGCCCCUAGGGCUUUUCCCAAUAGAAAAUAUUACCUUGCCUGUCUUUUGUUCAUCUGCAUUCAUUAGUCCAAUGUAGGCCUUUGCCAUGCCUUCUGCAUACUCCAGAAAGCUGGGGCCUUCUUUUUGGAUUAUCUCUAUGAAAAAAAAACAAUAUUUCUAGAAAUGCCUUGCCUACAAUCUCUUUUCAUAUGAACUUGCUUAUCACAAUUAAAACAUCUGAUGUUUUUGUUUUUCUUCAAACUUUUAGAAAUUAUUUCUCCUAUCAAAGUAGCAUCAUAAACAUGAGAUCCAAUAUUGCCAUAUUUCCAGUCCAUUCAUCUAUUGGUUCUGAUGUUGCCUUGAAAGGCCUAAUCGCCCCUUUGCAUUCAGAAUUAGCAUUUUCAAAAGCCAAAGAUCUCAUUAAUAUUUGUCUGACUUCUGAAUCUGAUACUAUUUUAUUUACAGCUGAAGUCAACCUUUGCAAAAAAAAAAUAGUGAAGGCUGAUUUUGGGCCUUGCAUAAUUUCAGUAAAUGAUACAGCCCUCUUUCCUGGUUCUUCAACAUAAACAGAAACCCUAAAAUAAUGUCCUUUCUGGUAUCAUUUUGGAAGUCACCAAGGAGCAUUUCAUUCUGAUAUAAUUUUCUUUUCUUUACUAUAUCCAUGACUUAAUGUUCUAUUUUCCAAAUUUUGUGCAACUUUUUACAUUAAGUUUUAGAAUUCUAAAUUUUUUCAAUAGCCCUUUCUGGUUAUUUCAUAAAUGUAGUAUGCUCUCCAAUGUUUCUAAGAAUAUCCGAGAUUCUUUGGCAGCUUUAUGUUCAGCUUUCAUGUUGGAGUUUCCUCAAAUGUUGAGUGAUUCUUAGUUGUCAGUGUAUAUUGACUUCAAGUGACUAUAAGUUAUGUCAUAAUGAGCAGGGUUUGUAGUCUUUGGGUCUCACUGUAGCAAAUAGUUAAAUGCCAAAUUAUUGUUCAUCUUUUCUGGAUGGGUUGGGCAUGUCUGGAUAUACAUGCCCAUAACAGCCAGGUAAAGAAUGCAUGCAGGUUCACAAUGUUCUUAAUACUGGCAUUCUCAGUUUCCUUGUACUCAACAUAGCUUUGGUCCUGUCUUUCCAUUCUCAGUUUUGUUUGGUUCAGUUUCUCCAGAAAAAUAAGCCUUCUGUAAUUUUUGUUUGUUUGUUUUUGUUUUUUAUUUUUCGAGACAGGGUUUCUCUGUGUAGCCCUGGCUGUCCUGGAACUCACUCUGUAGACCAGGCUGGCUGUGAACUCAGAAAUCCGCCUGCUUCUGCCUCCCAAGUGCUGGGAUUAAAGGCGUGCACCACCACUUUUGUUCCUCAUGCCUACUUUCAGUUGUCCCUUUAGACUUUGAAUGGUGUAGAAAGCAGCACUUGUCUUCUACAUUUGUAGACUUUUUCUUUCUCUAAACAUUUAUCUUUGCUAUUUUUAAAUUGUAUGUAUUUGUGUCUGUGUAUGUGCACAAAAAGACAUUGGAUGCCUUGGAGACAGAGUUUACAGGAGGAUGUUAGCCACCAGACAUGGGUGAGAAACCAGACAAAGGUUGUCUAUAAGAGUGCUCUUAGCCAUAGGGCCAUCUCCCUAGCUCCUUUUUUUUCUGCUAUGGAAACUAAAUGAACUUAGCUGCUGGAACAUUGCUACCUACACCUUUUUCCCUAAAAGAGCUAUAAAUUGGCCUUUUCCUCAAUGAAGAAAAUAAGUACUUUAAAAGCCCACCAAUAAGGAUCAACAAAACACAACCACUUCUACGUACAAUUGAAGACAGCACUAUGAAAAUUAGAAAUGAUUUAAUUGUUAGUAUGAGUUAUUUUCACUCAAUACCAUGUCUCUUCAAUAAAGACUCUGAUCUGU
ensembl:antisense 9630001P10Rik RIKEN cDNA 9630001P10 gene